rnacentral:hammerhead_ribozyme from 1 species
UAGCGAAACGCCCAGUAUUGGGCGUCUGCCGGUGGUGGUUCACCGGUACUGAUGAGCAGCCGAGG